CACGUGAGGGGCCGAGCGUUGUCCGGAUUUAUUGGGCGUAAAGAGCUCGUAGGCGGUUGGGUAAGUCGGGUGUGGAAAACUCCAGGCUCAACUUGGAGAUGCCACCCGAUACUGCUCUGACUUGAGUUCGGUAGGGGAGUGGGGAAUUCCUGGUGUAGCGGUGAAAAUGCGCAGAUAUCAGGAGGAACACCGGUGGCGAAGGCGCCACUCUGGGCCGAAACUGACGCUGAGGAGCGAAAGCGUGGGUAGCAAACAGG
rnacentral:rRNA from 1 species